GAGCACGCAGGAGGCCGCAGGCGGCACAUUCUCGUUUUUCCUUCCUAGGAUUCAAGAUCGAGGGGAAAAGAAAAGGAAUCUCCAAUUCCGAAGAGCCCUGUCGCCGGAACAAGAAGAGAAAGCAAUCACAUAGCGUUCUCCGCGACUAGAGAGCCGACGGAAUUUCCCAUUCCCUCUCGGUUCCUUCCUUCGAUUUCUUGCAUCAAUGAGCCCCGAAGAAGCAGUUUCAGGCCUGGAAUUCCGAGCGACGGAUGACGACGCCUGGUACAGCGUCCGCUUAGCUCUCGACGGCGAUAGGCUCAUCGUCAACUACGUUAGCUUCUCCGACUGCCACGACGAGCACUUCCUUGCCGGUGAUUUCAAAUCCUCAAUGGAGCUCGACGAGUUCCAGUGGAGGUUCCGUCCCUGCUCCGUGCAGUUGCAGGACCGGGACUGUCGCAAGGCCAUUGAAGGCCUCAUGGUUUGCGGCUGUUGCCUCUUCCCUGAGGACAACUCCGUCCUCUUUUACGACGCCUGUAUUGAAGAUGUUCAAUAUAAGGAGCACCAUUUUGACGAUGCAGAAGAGGAGUGCUUGUGCACUUUUUUGCUUUUCUGGCAACAUGGUCCACAAGCUGGUGAGAAAACUCCCUGUGGUAUUGCGGACAUUUGUCUAAUCCGACCAACUAUUCAAAUGGACCCAACCCUAGCCUCUUUUCUACGUAUAGCGAGAAAGAAGAUUGAGGUUGCCAGGCUUAUUCUGAGCUCAUCUUCUGAAAAUGGUGCCCCAUUGUGCAAUGGAAAUACAUGCUCCAUAGAUAUCGUUAUCCCAACUGUCGAGCAUGAAUCAUGUUUCUCUCAAUGCAAACUAAAGGAAACAAACAUUGUUAGGCAGUCUGGAACUGCAGCUCAGGAAUCUGAAGCUGGAAUAAGGGAUUGUUGUGAAACAAUUGCAAAAGAUAGGGGAGUGGAUGCAUCUGUCAAUAUCAUUCAACAAAGGGAUUGUUGUGAAAGGAUUGUAAAAGAUGGGGGAGGGAAUGCAUCUCCCAAUAUCAUUCAAGAAAGAGAUUGUUGUGAAAGGAUUAUGAACGGCAGGGGAGAAAAUGCAUCUCUCAAUAUCAUUCAAGAAAGUGGUUGUUGUGAACUGAUUGUAAACGAUAGGGAAGGGGAUGCAUAUCUCAGUAUCAUUCAAGAAACUAGUAAUCACUACGUUAUUUUAAUUGAGAAUUUGGAGACAGAUUUAUCCCCAUCAACUAUUGUCGAAUUCAUGAACAAAUGGAUUUCUAUCUCACCGCAAGCAUACAUUUUCCCAAGUUUUUCAUCAGACUCAUUUACUAAGGGAAUAAUUGUCUUGGAUUCGAGGGAAGAGCUUGAGACAAUAUGCAGUUUUAUAAAUAAUCCUAGCCACAUUAUCGCAUCCUCAAGAGGAAGGCCGUGGGUGACAACUGGAAUGAAACUGAAGAUUGAAUGUUUGAAAAUAAUAGUUGAAAGCUUAAUGCUAUCAUCCGUGAGUAAACCACAAGGAAGAAAUGUUGAAAAUCUUGAUCAAUUAAAGCUUGUGAAGGCAGGAACCGAAAAAUACAAAGUAGCUAAGCAGCUAAAGGAUCUAUAUGUGGACUUCACCCAUCAUCUACGGAAACUGCACAAGAAGUUAGCUUUGGAUGAAGGAAAAAUCUUACAGUUAUCCACUGUAUAGCUGCUAUUUAAAAGAGACUAAAUAUCUGGUCCUCUGCGUGUAUGAACAGAUAUAAUCAUUUGAGCUUGCUAUGUUCGAAGUUGGGGGCAUGUGCUUGGUGGAAUCAUCUAUCAAAAAAGACAUGCACUUGCCUGUGGGAUGAUCAUUACCUUUUUAUCCAAGGCAGUCACUGAACCAUUACUUGGUUCUCCGAGCUCCCAGGCUACGUGCUUAUUCUGAUUUUGCCUAUGUAGUAGAAGUUGGUUUUAAGGUUUGAAGUGGCAAUAUGGAUGCAAGCUUUGUUGUCCAAUUCUACUACAACCUUAAAACAAAAGGAUAAAGGUUUGUUUGGGACAUCUUGAAGCAGACACUUCUUUUGAUCGAAUUGAUGUUGUUAUGUCGGAUCACUCUAUAUCUCUCCAGGCCCCUAGUGGAAUAUUCCUCAUAUCAAACAUAAGGGAAAGAUUUGAAAGAUCUCACAUUGGAUUCAUUUUAGUGAAGCAGUUCCUGUGAGAAAAGUGUUGAAAUUGUGUGAUUCUACCUCAGGUAUGCACACUGUUAUUUGGAGGGAGGUUAUUAAUCCUAAUUUGACAGCAUAUUUUGAUUGUGUAUCAGCUUCAAGUAAUGGCAGUUGCAAUUUGUCCAAAGUAGUCAGUGAUGUGAUUGCAGGACCAACCUGCGAGAUUUGCUUGAUGUGGUGUUUUCCCCUUCAUUUCACUCGCGAAUAGAAUGUAGAGAAGGCCGUCAAUAGAGCUCCAUUUGCAGAGAGAGAGAGAGAGAGAGCGCAGAGAGCAGAGAGCAGAGAGGAGGACGGCAGCAGGAGGAGGCGUACGAGCGCAGGUUACCGUUCGGUGGACUUGAGCAGGUGAUCGUUCGGGAGUGGAUUGAGCAGGUGGCCGUUUGAACGGGCAGGCGAGGAAAGCUAUUAGAAGGGGAAAAGUGGGGUACGUACUUUUUCUUACCAUGAAACAAAAUUAGUUUCAUUGAGUUUUGAUUUAACCAAACGUUUGAAGAUUUGUUAUUUUAGCUUUAUAAAGUAUAAUGUGGUUUCGAUUUUUUGGUUGAAGGUUGCAUCCGAAAACCCCCAAGGUUAGGUUUCAUUUCAUUCGCGUUUUUCCAAUUUUUUUUUUCCCUAUUCUUUGGCUUUUGGAUUAUAAUGAGAUUUGAAGGAAUGUAUACUCUUAGGA